CAAUAUUAUUUAUCUUAAGAGUUCAGUGUCUCGAUAACUAAUACGCCACCAUGGAAUAAAUAUAUCUACUUGCCGAUUAAUUUCCUUUGCAUUCUUGGCAGUAGAGAGCGAAGAAAAUAAUGAGAAAAAAUCGUGAGAAGGUACGUUCGAAUUUAUCGGAACGAACGGUUUUCACUUCGAACGCUUGCUUUGAACAAACGUGGCUGUGGCAGGCAACCACUUUCUUCUAGGAACAUAUUUUAAAUUAUUCAAAAUAGUUCAUAACAAAUUUUCAGUAAUUCAUAUUAAAUUUCGCUGUGUACUUGACGAGACUGGAGAAAAAUUAUAACAUUAUUAUGAGUUGUCGUGCAAAUAUGAAAGAUUGCAUUCGCUGAAUAAAAAGCAUUCGCUAAACUCGACAAAGUGCCCAGAUUAAUUCAUCGAGUAAUUUUUUUUAAAUCUAUUGAACGUAUCAACCGACAGAUAGAUCUGGAUCGUUCUGGCUUGUUAUUUUGAAACAGCCUGUACGCGCGAUGAUUAAUGUCGGUAGUUUACAAAGCGUUCGUCCUGACUGGAAAGGUCGACGUUUCACGAGCGAACGCUUCGUAACUAAAAAUAUCAUUCCGACAAAUAACUUGCAUAAAUGUUACGUCACUUUAAUGCAGCGUUAACGUAACGCGAAUACCAGCGUGCAAGAUACCGAAGGAAUUGUCGAUCAUUCUGCCACGAACACGUUUAAGGUAUCGUAGAUUACGAAGGAAUUUGCUUGCCGAUCUGAUAAAAAAUAUUCGCUUGUUGUACGCGAUCGUUCUUCUCGCGGAUAGCAUAUAAGAUCGGAAAUAGGGAACAGAGGAUCGCGGAUGCUGAGGGAAAAUUUUCUCGUUCUCCUUGGCAGGCUUCCUUCUACUCUCGUGAUGGCUCCAGUCCACUGACCGAGACUCGGAUGCCAUGCUAUAAAGCCGAAGAAAAAGUCGCGAUCGUAAACUCGGCUUGCUUCCGCACCUCGCGAUAGUUCCAUGGCUAUCGACGUUGCUUUUCGUGGAAGAUCGCGCGAAGCGUUAGAAACUGCAAGGAUUCGUUGAAUUUCCAUCGGUGAAACUCGUCCGAGUUUCGAAUUAGGGCUUGCCCCUGCCGUCGCGACGAUUCGCUCUCGAUAAUAUUCAUCUUUCAUUGUUUCGACCCUACGAAUGUCUAUAUGCAGUCGUCAGAAUCCAUUCUCUUGACCUAUGAACACAUGUAUACAUGAUAGAUGCUUGUAAAAAUUCCGUUGCUGUUGCCUACUAUUUAUGGAUGCUUACGUGCUCAUAAUAUGUAAAAAUAUAUAAAAUAUCGAAAUUAAAGUGGCCAUUAUAAUAUUUAACAGGUGAAACGAAUCAUUAUUUAGAUUCCAUUCCUUUUACUACGAUCGUAAAGAUACGAAAUUGCACAAAUACUCGCUGUUUUAGUGAUAAGAGUUAAACACUUCGUCGAUGUUAAGCCAUUGGCGUACUAAUUAUUUCGCAUUGAACGUUCCCGUAUAUGCGUAUCUUUACGGAAACUCUGAAUCAGAUAGCUCGCAAUUGGGACAAUUUUUUCAAAAUUCCCACAGUUUUUAUUUAGAGUAUCGUUAUUUGUGCAAGAAUUUGGAAGGAACGACGAUUAACAAAACGUUUAAAUUGAAGAAACGGCCACAAUUUCGCACCGCUGACAGACGGUUGUACACGGCCAUAAGUUGAUACGUGGCACGGAAAUCAAUUAGUACCGAAACGGUUCAUAUCUUUGUGUAUCUUUGCUUGCUUCUUUAUUUUGUGCAUUAAUAUCUCUCGAUGACAACGAGGAGAUUCAAAGGAAUUAUUCGAAAAUGGGACCGUGACACGAAAAUUAUAUCAGAGUUUUAUGUAAUCGAGUGCGAUAAUUGAGACAGUGGAACGCGAUACACCGUGCAGAUUGUAACCGGAGGAACGUUUACGAUGGAAAAUUGGAGGACUUGGUUAGCGCGACAUGUUUUCGACAAGUGGCGGCAUCGACGACGAAUAAAUAAGGAGACAAGAACGUGUAAUGACCCACACUCGAUUAUUGCGAAGCAGAAAGAGAUAGGCGUGCUUCUCGCGACGAGAACAGGCGAGAUAAAGACGAGCAGAUAGAAAAUAUGGCCAUGAUAUUUACUAACGCGGCCUCCACGUGAAAGUGCUCGGUCUUCGCUUUGCGCUGUGUUCGAGGAGCGCGUACGGUGUCAUGUAACGGGUGACAUGACCGAACCUUUUCAAGAAAAACAAGAUCAUGCCCGGCUCGUUUGGAAAUGUCACGUUUCAAGCGUUAUCCAGCCUCGAUGAGAGAUAGUUAGUAUUCAUUUAUUCCAAGGAUUCUGCGACUAUGUUUACCCUGAUGACUGCUACACCUGGCGUACUGAAGGGCAACUACAACGUGCAGCAAAAAUAGGACGGUCGAGUUAAGAGAGAUUCCUGUAGGAUGGAAUUUGACCUAAAUAAGAGAAUCGCUUUGUAGAAGCACGGACUCCCUUCCUUAACAGCUGUUGGUAAAUUCUCGGUCACGGUACGAGAAUGAACAAUUACGUAGAUCGCAGAAGGCCGCGGACAGGUGGUUCGAAGAAGCCGAGGACUGGGUCCAUUGUAGGAAAUGACCAUGACGAGCGUGGCUGUCGCCCCGGGUAGCCUCGGUGCACCUCCAUCUGUGCUCACCCCGAAAAUGUAUCAUCUACAGCAGGGGUUAAACCCAACAUCGGUCUCACCUACUCCCGGAAAGAAUUACGACACGCUGAGCAAAGGGAAGAAAUCGUGGAGUGUGAGACUGGGUCUGUCGCGACAGAAUCAAAGCACCGAUGAUCCUGGCAAAGUGUGGGGAACGAUAAGCGGCGGCAGCGGAAUAUCGCGUCAAAUGAUCUACGGGGAUCCAUGGCUCUAUGGUACGGUUCGGUCUUCGAGACCUGGACACGAGCCACGAGGCUUCAUGACACCACCGCCUCCGCCGCCACCGGGAGCACCAGUAUUGGUAGUAUGUUCCUGUCCGGAAUUUCUCAGUGGAACCACCCGGAAAUUCGGCAAUUGCCGCAAGUGCGGUGGUCACCGAUUGGCUGGUGUACCUUUAGGAGGAACAUGUCGGUUACCACCGGUUUCCUCGAGGUCGAGGCCCAGCCUCGCCGGAGUGCUGAGGUCAUCGAUAGACGAUCCGUACGACCUGAUGCGUCGGAAUCGGCUAGUGGAGCCGAGGACGCGAGCACGCAGUAUUUCGCCGCACCGACCAUUGUCUCAACGCGAUUCUCGGAGCCAAAGUAUGGCGCGGAACACGAAAGAGCGAAAGGGCUCGAUCGAAGGUACUUCCUCGAAAUCCGAAUGGUUCGACAAAGAGGCGACCGCGAGCUACGAGGACACAGGACGCAAGCAACGUGCGAACUUCAUUGGCGUGUCCACGGACGAAUGGCUGGAGGAAUCGCCACUGCUGGCAGAUUCACGAAAUCAAUCGGUCUCGACGACCGCUGUCAGGCUGCUUCGAAUUCCGAAAAAGGUGAAAAGCGCGAAGAACGAUUGGUCGGAUUGCUCGGUGGUGAAAACACCGGAAAUCAGUCAGACGAAAAGCAACCAUCAAGAUGACUGGAAAGAGAGGCCGUCGAGCGCCGGUGAUUCAAGAAAGAGCAUCCUCGUGUGCGACGUAAAUCCCUAUUUGUUGUUGAAGAAACAAAAGGACGAGGACGAUCUGAGCGACGACCUGUCGGACAACGCCCUCGAGCAGGAUGACGCGAGACCGCUUUCCAGCCUGUUCGAUCCCUCGAAAGUGAAAUCGAUCGAGAGGAUACCGAACAGAAGCGCGGUCGCCGCGAUCGGUGGCCAGAGAAUAAGGGUGUUCAACGAGCCACGAGAAAUCUCAGACGACGAGGAAGUUGCACCGGUCACGAGGAUUCCCAUACCAAAGGUUUCACCGAAGCGACCACCGAGAAGGCUGAAGGAAGCCAAACAAACGCUGAAGAGUAUUCUGAAGCGGGGGAAGGUGCUCGAGACACGUAGGAAGAACGUCCUGUUCAACGUCGACAAUGUUAUAUUCGCGCCUGAAAAACCGUCCGAAGUAACGCGACUAUCGUGGAGCAGAACCGGCAGGAUCGCGAGCUGCGGCUCUCCCAGAGAGCAACCGAAUAAUGACGAGUCGGAGGAGGGUGAGGAAGAGGAAGAGGAAGAGGAAGAAGAAGAAGAGGAGGAGGAGCCAGUAACUGUAUCAUCGCACGAGCAAAGAGAAAAGUAUAAUUUCAUCACCAUUCCGAAUAUCAAGGAUCCAAAGGUGGAUAGAGUUCGACCGAAGGAACCUAGAAUCUCGCAGCAUGUGUGCCAAAAUCCUAUUAACCCUGUUGAAGGAAUUAAGGUAGAUAAAUUCGUAUCCUCUUGCGAUGCGGAACGUGUUGCCUCGAAGAAAAAAGAGAACAUCGAGGUACAACGGCGGAGCGAAGAUAUCGUUCCACGAAACUUCACUGAUCAAACUGUUCACUCGUCGAGACGCGAGAACGCGAAGGAAGAGAACGAAGAAAGGAAAAGGAUAGAGGAGACGAACGAGAUCAGAAUGAAGAAAGACACCGAAUCGCAGAUCAAGAUCGAGGAAUGCAAGGAUCGUAUUCCAGGCAUCGCCGUAGACGAAAAGGACCUGAUAUUAAAGUCUGAGGAAAACUCCAAAAAAUCAUCUUUAUCACGCAGCCAAAGCGAACGAUCGUUUAACAGACCAGAGGUAUCAGCUGGCGAUGUGCUUUUUAUGGACACCAUGCGCCUCAGCCUGUGUAGAAGAGUGAAAGAAUCGUCGCCAGGUUCGAACGAGCAAACGAUUCGACAUAAAGAUUCGAUCGAAUCUACGACAGCGACGAUAAAAGAUUCAGACUUGAAGGAAGAGACUGAUUCGAUUAAAAUAGAAUGUCAAUCGGAAUUAUCAAAUGCAAAAGAAAUCGAAGAAGUUCCUGCUGAAAGUAUAAUUAAGCCAGAAAUGGAACCUUCGAUAGAAAUUCAAAGGAAUUUUGAUGGGAACGGUGAUCAUUUCCGAGGAAUGAGGCCAACAAGUUGGUCUCCUCCGCCUGGAAAACAGAAACAUCGUUACAAAAUCAGCGAUUCUGAUGCGAAACUGAAAAUCGUGAAUAAUACUGAAUCGGAACGAAGCAGUCCACUGUUGAAGACCACUUGGAGCACAUCGAAUUCCUACGGAUCGUCGAAAAUCGAGAUCGGAUCACCGACCAUGGAAAACAACGUGUAUAAAAUCACAGUCAGUCCCCGAGCUUCGCCUCUUGUACAUCGAUUGCAGAUAGGCCCAGGUACUAAUGGGUCGAGAAGAACGUCGAUUUUAAUCAACGGUGACACAACGCCUACCGCUGAAACAUCGCCGGACAACAAAGUGACCAUCAGCGUCGGUGGAGAAGAUAGCGUUUACAACCCCACGGUGAUCUCGGUAAACUCGGAAAAUUUGCCACGAAUAAAGAGUUCUAGCGAAAAUCGAACGCUUGUGAUCUUAGACAACUACAAGUCAAAUAUCGUGGUCGAAUCUGUCAAAGAGAACGACAAAGAAGAUAUAAAAUCAAAACCGUUAAAUGCGACUGAAUCGGAAUCUAUCGAACAAACCGAAUAUUCUCGAAGAAACAACGAAACCUCGUCCGAGAAUAGAAUAGCGUCAAGUGUCCUAGAAACGUCAAGGGACUCUGAGAAGCAAAUGAGAUCAAAUAUCGAAAGUAAAACUUCUGCCACAGAGAAGAGUGGUAAGUUUUACAUAACGAACGAACGAGCGACACGAACGGAACAAACAACACAGCAAAAAGAUGCGGAAAAUUCGUCGAAACUUUUGGGACUGUCGAAAGAGGCACUGAUCUCGAAACUGCUCGAGGAUUCCCUAAGGAAGGCAAGAAAAAAUGGAGAGAUCCUCGACGAAGACAGCGGCGAAGCUAUUUUGAAAAUACUGAAGCAAAGUUUGCUGAAGAGCAAGGAGUACGAGAGUUCCGAGUCGACUCUCGAGGCAAAUUACUCGAGAGCAUCCAGCUUAAAUUCGGAUGGCGAUUUUAUUUCAACGAAUCUCUUCCUUGAGGAGAAUCCCUAUGAGGUAAUCAAGGAGCCCAUUUACGAGGAGAUUCCCGACGAACCUCCGCCUCUGCCACUGAGUCCGCCACCCACGGAGGAUUACAUAAAAGACAGAAUAUAUUUCGGUGACAUCGAUUACUAUAGAAAAAGUAAUUGCGAUCAGUUCCUUGGGUCCUACUUGACAGACAAUGUUUUCAAAAAAUCCGAGGAUGUUGCUGAAACGUAUUUGUCGAAGAGUCCCGAGGACUUCUUCAAGAAAAUAUCUACGUCGCCGGAAGAAGAGAAUAUCUCAAGUAAAUUCGAAUUGCUUAAUUACCUUAUGGACUCGAAGGAUCAAACAACAUCCAUCGAGGAGGAAGAUGACGACGAUGAUGAGGACGAAGAAGAUACGGAGGGAGAUCUUGAAGCGCUGUAUGAGCAAAAGGAGACCAGCCUCGGCGAUCUUAGUUCGAAGAGUUCGCAGAUAUCCAACGUUUCCGAUAGCAGUGAGGAAUGCAAUAUUAUAUUGACCAGCUCAUCGGAAACAUCAAAAGUAAGAGCCGUAGAUAUAGAAAGAACUGAUAGCGGAGUGGGAUCAGAAAGCAGUCAAGCCAGCAGCACUCGGGGCGUGCCAAGACGUUGGAGGGCAGGAAAUGUCUCUUCGGGACCAGGAAGUCUCCUCAGUGGAAUCCCACAAGUGAUUUCCGGUGAUUCAAAGCACUGCGAGGACUGCGAACAACGUUUGGAUCCUUUAAUAACAGACAGUGGUGUAGUGUACGCCCCUUUCGUGUGUAGAAAAUGCUCUAAAAAGAGAGUAGAGCGCAAAGAAAUCAUUACAGAGAUUGUAGAGACUGAACAAAAGUACGGAAGAGAUCUACAAAUUAUUCUCGAAGAAUUUCACAGACCUAUGCUAAGGGCUGGGCUUCUCACAUCCGAACAGCUUGCAGCGAUUUUCCUCAACGUAGAAGAACUUCUCGAACACAACCUUGUACUCGCAGAGAAAUUAAAAGAUGCCGUGGAAUUUGCUCAGGAAUCCGGGGAUGAAGAUCUUCUAACGGUAGAUGUAGGAAAAAUCUUCCUGGAAUCUGAGCGGAUGUUACAUGCAUUUGAAAGCUAUUGUACCCGUCAAGGAAGCGCAAGCUUAUUAUUACAGAAUUUAGAGAAGGAAAAAGAACUAUUGCGAAUUUUUCUAAAGGUUUCGCAAAUGGAAAACACUGUUUUACGUAGAAUGAAUUUGAAUUCCUUCCUAAUGGUUCCCGUUCAAAGAGUAACGAAAUAUCCUCUCCUGUUGGCUCGAUUACUGAAAGCUACGCCUUCUGUACGACCAGACAUACAAGAAGCAAAGGAAAGACUAAAACAAGCUCAGGCUACCAUAGAGUUACAUUUGGAACAUAUGAAUGCUGAAGCAAAGGAUGUAACUUCGACAAAGCUUUGGAGAAGAAUUUCAAUUAUUCAGAAUGGUAGACGACCUAUUGGUGAACAGGAUAUGGUGAAUAUAAAAUUAAGGAAGAUGGCCGUAGAAGUAUUAGAAUGGGCUCACGAAGAAGCAAAAUUCGUAUUAGAAGGACGUCUUUUAGUUGCUCAGCCAACAGAUAACAAUUGGAGACGCGGACGUACUGUUAAGCUUGCUCCUGUAACUGCCAUGUUGGUUACUAAUGGCAAGCCAAAUGCAGAGGACCUUGAAUUUAACGACGAUUCUCUAUUUCCAAGACACAUUGGUAUCAAGGAAGCUACGUUAUUGCUAGUUAAAGAAAAACUUGGACGUUAUUCAUUAUUGCGCGAACCGUUGUAUCUGGAUAAGUGUAUAGUAUGUUGUGAAACAGACCUUGAAGAUUAUUUCGAAAUUCAAGAAUUAUCAUCAAAGGAAACUUUUAUAUUUAAGGCCGAAGAUGGCGCCAGAACAAAGAGGUGGUGUAGGACGUUACAAACACACGCACAAUCUCUUGGUGCAUGGCGUAAACGUCGUGGAGCGCUGCCAAAUAUCAUGAUAUGCGGUGUCGCGAGAAAUUGAUGAAGAAACGACAUGAUUAAAUAUAAAAGUAGAAUCUAAAUUUACAGGUAUUAUUUAAAGAUGAAUUAGCAGUGAUUUAUCAAGGAGAAUAUAUGUGUUGGACCAAAAGAUUUCCUCUGCUCAUUGGUGGUACGUAUCAAUGAGUAAUAUGAAAAUCUAACUCUUGCCGUGCGCAGACUAUUUUGCGUUCGGUUACAGUACGUUGCAGAAACUUAAGUUUCCUACGUCGCUGUAGCCAACACGUUGUACAACAUUAUAUAACGUCACAAAUUGUUCUGUUUUUCCCUUCUCCCGGAUGCCGCAACUACAUGUAUACCGAAUGAGUAAUUACCCACGCGUAGGACUAUUUAACAUUUGCAUUGAAGCUAAAAGAACAGAGAGUAGCUGUGAUACUGACCGGUGUAGUAUUGGGUACUUUUUAUCAGAUUAUAUCAAAUACUGCAGUACGAAUCGAGCUUUUAUUUCUAUGUAUUUUUAUAAAGACAUUUAACUUUCCCGAAAAUAAAUUGAUAAUAAUGUACAUAAUUUAAAAAAUGAGGUAAUAGGGUUAUUAUAUUUUGUACCCUUACGGUUUACGAGAACUAAGAAACUGCCAAAUGUUCCGUAAAAUCAAGCUUGGUAAUGAUUUAUAUAUAAAUUAAUUAAUCUACUAGAUAUAGUAUAUAACUAUUCCUUGAAAAAUAAUUAACAAUAUUUUAUGGCGUCUAACACACAAACUUGAAAUUGUAUAUUGUACAAUAAUUUUAUUUAAGACCUAAGCCAUAUGUUUUGUAUAUAGAUGUAUAUUUAUAUUGAGAUUGGUUUUAGACACAUAAUUGUUAUUUUAAAUCCGUCAUUCAAUAAAAAUCAAAUAUACUUAUUUGCAUGCUGUAUAUUACAGCAUGAUCAAUAUUGUUCCUUAUUUACCAUAUUCAUUACUCAUGUGUCAGCUAGAAACAAUAAUAAAUACAAAUAGAUUUGUUUUAAAAAAAUCAAUAUUUUUUCUACCAAAAUAGAUAUAUCUAUACAUGUACAAGUACAGGUACUGUAUGAUAUCGAUAGUUUUUUGUUUAUCCUUGUCACAUAUUAAAAAGUCAUCAAUAUCGAAAAGGUUAGGUUCGAUCUGUACAUUUACCAAUAAUUAAACAUGAAUUACAAAAUUUACUAAACAUAAUAAAUGAUAUUUAAAAAAUGUUAAAUACUAAGAAAAUUAAAACCAUUCUUCUGACGUAUACGCAGUCACUAAAACGCACAACUAUAGACAAAAAUAUAUUGAAAUGGGAGUUUUUUUUGCGAAUAUCUUAGAAACUAAAACUGACUGCCAGUUAUAUGUAUAGAAACAAGUUGUUCAAAAUGUUGCACUUUAAACAUAUUCAAAAAGUAUCAAAAUCAGAGAGAAAGUAGCACUCCUACAACUUCACCAAAUAUAGUUACAAUUACAUUAUAAAUUAUACAAUUAUAUAUUCGAUAAUUUUAAAAUUGAGAUAUAAAUUAGAAAUGACAAAUAAUUUUAUCAGACCUUCUCUCGCGUGACAUAAACAGGUAUAUCAAACAUCAGUGUAUCAAAUUUAAAUAGUAAUCAAUAAAUAUUUGAAAAAUAUUUAUAAUACACAAAUUGUUUCGAAUAUAACGAAUAUAUAUAUAAGCUGAUAUAUAUAAAUAUGAUAAAAAUAAACAUUGAUCAAUAAUGACUAUAUCUCAAUAAAAAAUAGAAGUUUGCUGUAUAUAAGCUUUUGUUGAUUUGUCCUGCUACUUUUUAAAUACUAAAAGUUUAAUAUUUAAAUUAAUCCUUAUGUGCUACAACAAUGCUACAAUCUACGUAUUUUAUGAAUUUCGUAAUACGAAGUAAGCAAUGAAUGUAAGGGGUUCUCAAACAUCCAUUCACUUGUUUUUAUAAUUCAGAACCCCUGACCUGUCAUAAACAACGAAGAUGGCUUAAGG